CCAUAAUUGCUUCUACCAACUCUUCAGUUUGAAGAGAGAUCCUUUGAUACAUCCUCCAUAAUGAAAGGUUCCAGUUCAGAACUUCUUUAAGCUCAAAAAUGAACUUGGAUACAAGAGGACAAACUAGGAACCCAAAUCAAAAGGAAGCAAUUAUAAAAGCCCUGUGAGCAGCAGCUUAAGUGAAAAGACAGAAACACAGAGUUACACAAAAAUGCAUCUUUUCAAUCCCCUGGCUUUUCAGGGCAGACAAGCCCAAGAGCUGAUUCAAGCCUGCAGCUUGCCGGACACUGAGCAGAGAGGAGCACUACUCCAACCACCUCAUUCUGUAUGCACAGCAAGCAGGUACAAAGCAAAUGUGAUGUGAGUCACACAAGAAAAACAUAGAAAACAAAGGCAAAAGAGCUGGCAAGAUAGAAAGGACAGCAAUGUGGGAGAGUGGGCAACAUCAGGCUGCCAAGAA